GAUGAACGCUAGCGAUAGGCCUAACACAUGCAAGUCGAGGGGCAGCAUAGAGUAGCAAUACUCAGAUGGCGACCGGCGCACGGGUGAGUAACGCGUAUGCAAUCUACCUACAACAGGGGAAUAACCCGGAGAAAUCCGGACUAAUACCGCAUAAGACAGGGGUCCCGCAUGGGAAUAUUUGUUAAAGAUUUAUCGGUUGCAGAUGAGCAUGCGUUCAAUUAGGUAGUUGGUGAGGUAACGGCCCACCAAGCCAACGAUGGAUAGGGGAACUGAGAGGUUUGUCCCCCACACUGGAACUGAGCCACGGACCAGACUCCUACGGGAGGCAGCAGUGAGGAAUAUUGGUCAAUGGGCGAGAGCCUGAACCAGCCAAAUCGCGUGAAGGAAGACUGCCUUAUGGGUUGUAAACUUCUUUUACAGGGGAAUAAAAAGGCUUACGUGUAGGUUAUUGCAUGUACCCUGUGAAUAAGCAUCGGCUAACCCCGUGCCAGCAGCCGCCGUAAAAC
rnacentral:rRNA from 1 species